GGACCCUUAGCUCAGCUGGAUAGAGCGCUGCCCUCCGAAGGCAGAGGCCAGAGGUUCGAAUCCUCUAGGGUCCGCCA
rnacentral:tRNA from 36 species